rnacentral:rRNA from 1 species
AAGCUUCCUUUAGAUCAAAGAAUACAAACGAGUGUUGAUCCAAAAAUUUUGAUUAAAGAAAUUAGUUACCGCAGGAUAACAGCAUAAUCCUCUUUGAGAGUCCUAAUCGAAAAGGGGGUUUGUGACCUCGAUGUUGGACCAGAAUAUCCUAAAGAUGCAGCCGUCUUUAAUGGUUGGUCUGUUCGACCAUUAAAAUUCUACGUGAUCUGAGUUCAGACCGGCGUGCNNNNNNAGUUUCUAUCUUCAAUUUUUAAAAUAAUUUUAGUACGAAAGGACCAAGUUAUUUCAAGAUUCUUGUUGUUAAAUGAUUAAAUAUAAAAAAGUAUUAAAUAUUUAAAAC